UUUGACCUCAAAUCAGGUAGGACUACCCGCUGAACUUAAGCAUAUCAAUAAGCGGAGGAAAAGAAACUAACAAGGAUUCCCCUAGUAACUGCGAGUGAAGCGGGAAGAGCUCAAAUUUGAAAUCUGGCAGUCUCUUUUUUCUUCUUUGGCUGUCCGAGUUGUAAUCUAGAGAAGUGUUUACCCGUGCUGGACCAUGUAUAAGUCUCCUGGAAUGGAGCGUCAUAAAGGGUGAGAAUCCCGUCUUUGACAUGGAGUUGCCAGUGCAUAGUGGUGCGCUCUCAAAGAGUCCAGUUGUUUGGGAAUGCAGCUCUAAAUGGGUGGUAAACUCCAUCUAAAGCUAAAUAUUGGCGAGAGACCGAUAGCGAACAAGUACCGUGAGGGAAAGAUGAAAAGGACUUUGGAAAGAGAGUUAAACAGUAUGUGAAAUUGUUGAAAGGGAAACACUUGAAGUCAGUUGUGUCUGCUAGGGAUCAACCCAGCUAAUUUUUUUG
rnacentral:rRNA from 1 species